UAUUUAGAUUUUGAUGUGUUAAGGUAUAUUGUAACUCUUUUCUGUUUUUCAUUUGAAAACAAAACGAUUUGAUGGUCAAAUUUGAUUAAAUAAAUAAUAAAUAUGUUGAGAAGACAUUGUUAAUGAUGUGUUAAUAAAAAAACAAAUUUUCUCUAAGCGUUAAUGUGGAAAAUUUAGUUUUAAAAUUGAUAAAUAAUGUGAAGUUUUUCAGAUGCCAUGAUGAUGAACAAUAUCAUUUUGUUAAUUAAAAUAUAGCUGCUAUAAUAAAAACAGUGAAAUGACUUUCUUGGCUAAUUUAAACUAACAAAAACAUGUUUAAGGUUAAUGCGAUUAAUUAUGCAAAUUAUAUAUCCUCUAUUUCUAUGCAAAAAUUUAUAUUUAAAAAAUGACAAUACAAGUGAAUGUGGAUGUAGCUAAUGAUACGGAAUUUAUUUAUUUUGAGAUGAAUGAAUAAAAUAUUCUCCUUAUACUAAAUUGGCCCCUGUCAGCCAAAGUACAAUCUAUCAUCACUAAGUGAUUGAUAAUUUGGGAGGAAAAAAAAAAAAAAAAAAAAAAAAAAAUGAGAAUUUAAUAAGAUAAACUUAUCCUGUAACCGUCAUACACGACCUAAAAUAUUUCCACAAAAUAAAACAAUACUCUAAUGAAUACUUCAAUUAAUUCGAGAAAUUCAUUGAUAUUGAAAAAUCUUGAUGUACCCCCAAUAACCCUGUAAAUUUUUCAAUUGAUGUAUCGAACCGUUUUUUUCGGGGUGAUUAAAUAAAGUUUUGCAAAAGAAUUGAAGAAACGAGUUUUGUUUCUUAAAAAAAGUAAUCAUCAUCAAAAUAAAAAAAUUAUUUGUUUUGGACUUUUCUUAUAUUUUUACGUCGGUUACUCAGUAAAUGUGAAGAAAAGAGAAAAAAAAAUCUGUGUACCGGUAAACCCUGCAGACCAGCCCCAAAACUUCCCACUGUUUUUGAGCUCCUUGAGCUCGAAAACAUAAUUACUUGAAAAUUUUUCGGCUCUUCGAACUCAAAAAACUAUUAGACCGUCAAAAACAUGCAUUUCUCGCGUGGCUCUGAUGAAAACUUUAUUUUUGAAAAUUGGACCGAAACCAAUAAUAAUUCUUUUUUUUUUUUUAAUUAUCAAUUUUCAUAGCGGUAAGUUAAAAAACAACGAUUAAAUCUUAUUUUUUUAAAUCAAUUUCGUACCUUAGAAAAAAAACUCAUAUCAAUAUUUAUUUUAAACUAAAAAUUGAAAUUUUAAAGAAAAUUUCAAUCUCGGACAACUUUCAAAAACCGACCAAAAUUACACAACUGUAUGACCUAUUUUU